AUGCCGUCCCAUGCUGCAUACACUGGAAUACAAAGAGUAAUAGACAAGGGGAAAGGCAUUAUCGGCACAAUAGCCAGUAUCUGCAAAGGAAUGUGGGUUUACAACAAAAAUGAAGUUUUUAUAGAACUACAAUUGCUAAAUAUUUUGGAGAUAAAAGGCUCUUCUGUCAACCUUACUGUCCCCCAGGGACCUGAGCUGCUUCAGGAUCUUGGAUUUAAGCCAGCCACAAAACACAUUCAUGCCACUGAAUGCUCUCUUAUUUUCAUCCAGACACCGGCCUCUCAAAUUCCUGAGGUUCUCAAGGGCUUUUUCCAGUGAACUCUAUUGCAUUCAGGACUUUGGGAUGGCUCUGUAUGCAGAUGAAGCCAAUAAUGCACUACAAGUUCCAACUUAGAGAAAGUAUGGUUAAUCAAGGUUACUAAGAGCAGAAAGUAAUUCUAAUCAGUUGGUAAGUUAAAAAAGUUAAAGAUUUUAAGAAGCUAUUACUGAAACAGCUUUAUUGUUCUAUCUAUACGUGUUAUGUUAUACACGUAUACAGAUUGUAUGUCUAUAUGAAGAAAUUUUUAUUAAGAACUCUGUUUUACGGCUGAAAAGCCCAUGGAAAGCCAAGACACUCUGGGGGAAAAAAAAAAAAAAAAAAAAUCAUGU
rnacentral:lncRNA from 1 species